UACAGAGGUCCCAAGCGUUGUUCGGAUUCACUGGGCGUAAAGGGUGCGUAGGUGGUGAGGUAAGUCGGAUGUGAAAUCUCCGGGCUCAACCCGGAAGUGGCAUUGGAAACUACCUUGCUUGAGGAUUUGAGGGGGGAUUGGAAUACUUGGUGUAGCAGUGAAAUGCGUAGAUAUCAAGUGGAACACCAGUGGCGAAGGCGAGUCCCUGGACGAUUUCUGACGCUGAGGCACGAAAGCUAGGGGAGCAAACAGG
rnacentral:rRNA from 1 species